CACUGAGCUACCUCUGGCCAUGUAACCUCUGUGGAAAGGGUGUGCUGUCCCAGCUUAGGUCAAAAGCAGUUCAGAUCUCUAAGUUAUCAUCACAGCUAUCACUUAAAAAUACAGUAUGCACAACUCCUUGGUGCCUUGGACACUGGAACUGGGUCUAGCAAUGUGUGGAGGCAUGGAGUUGGCUUUGCAACCAAAAGCCAUCUCAGCCUGCCGACAUUAACCUCAGCAGACCUUCAGGACUUGGGAUACUCAGCAGACCUUCAGGACUUGGGAUACUGCAGCCUUGAAGCUCCUGUAGCGGAGCAUCCUUAUUGGAGCUUUGCUCCAACCGUUCACAGUCUAUGUGUGAUGCUGAGGCUAAAAGAAGAAGUGCCCAGGUUUCCUUCAGCAUACCUUCAGUUGCCCAUGCAGCAAGGUGGAUGAAAUUUGCUUGUCCUGAAAUGGAUGUUUAGACCUGCAUUGUGUUCACUGUCCUGCUUCAUAAACUGGUGCCUUGUUUGGCUAUCAUAUGGGUUGCCACUCACAGGAAAAGAAAAUAAAUAAAAAUUAAAAAAAAAAAAAAAAAGAAAA
rnacentral:lncRNA from 1 species